AACAACAUAUGGUUGAUAUCUAUCUCUUAGUUCCAGAGAAGAAGUCGUUGAAAACAAUAACGCCAAAUUACUCCUAUUUAGCCCUGCCCCCCAGCCCCUUGGAGGGAUAGCCCGGCCCUCCAUUUGUACAAUUUUGAAUCCCCACGACCGGAGAGUGCUUCCAACCAAAUAUGGUUGAUAUAUAUCUCUUAGUUCCAGUUCAGAAGAAGAAGUCAAAGAUUUAGGAUAACUGUAAGGUGCUGCUUUCUGUUCGUACGUAAACAUGUUCACAAACCACAUACAGCAAACUACGGUUAUAACAAACUCAAAGGGACCACUAAUGUUGGUUUGUUAAAACCGUAGUUGAUUAUAAGCAUAUAUUCAGCAAAUGGCCGGGACAAAAUAAACGUUUGUUAUAUCCAUCAGUUUGUUAUAAGCGUGUUUAUUAUAUACAUAGUUUACUGUAGCGCAAGAUAAUGUAAAAGGCAGAAUAACACAUUUACUACAAACCAAUUCACCUAUAGUAUUACAAUAAUUUAUACUUAACAUUACAUAAAAAGAUCAUUUAACUGCAGGGGGGUCUCAGUACACGCUCUUAAACAACUAUUAAAGUUUUCCUAUUAAAUGUACCCUUACUCGUGCAAGCAUAUGAUCUUAACACCAAUGAUACAGAGAAAAAAACAUUUUCACAACUGCUUCACAACAAUUUUAGAUUUAGAUACUUCAGGAAACUAGAAUUUAGCAUCUAUAACAUAGAUAUUGAUAUCACAUUACUGAGCAAGCUGACACAGGAUAUCUCCACUGAAAAAUUGUGUUUAUUUAAACUGCUGAAUAUUAACACAGUUAUCAUGAGAAAGUAGAAAUUUUAUAUAUUGCCAAAAUUUGUUUCGGAGGAAAAGUUAGCUUUAUCUGGUCACACCACAUUUUUUGAUGACGUAGUACGCAUUUCUUUCCCUGUUGUUGAAAGUGCACACUCACUCCAACCGUGUGAAGGACUUUAAUCUUCUUUAGCUUUGAAAGAGAUCGAAUUUUAAAUCACUUAUUCUUUCAAAGGAACAAUAAGGCAUAACUAAAGUACACAGACAGGUAUACCAUUGUGACGCAUGCGCAGUUACUUUCCUGUUCCUGUUUGUGAAAGUGCACACUCACUCCAACUGCGUGAAGGACUUUAAUCUUCUUUAGCUUUGAAAGAGAUCGAAUUGUUCAAAGGAACAACAAGGCAUAACUAAAGUACACAGACAGAUACUGAAGGGGCAUCGAGCAUCCAUUUUGUUCAGUCACGAUAGUACGAGCAGAGACAGGAAGAAAAUGUCGUGUCCGGUAAGUCAAUAUUCUAAAACAUUUCUUUUUGUUACAGUUCAUGUAAUAUAGAAAUAUCAUUGUUAAUAAUUGUAAGAAUACUACUUCUAUAUGACAAUGUUAGUUUUAAUACAGGAUUUUUUAAUUAUGGCAAUGAUGUAGAGAGAUAGAGGUAGUGUCUUUUUAAGAAUUAUGUAAUACAGAAAUAACGACCCAGGAUCGACUUUAAACAGGCAAAUUAUUGUUGUUUCAUUUUACCCGCUGACGGAUUAACGCCCAUGUCACAUCUCUUUUUGAGGAACUAUUUUACUCCGCGAUAUAGCUGGUUGUUGUAUGGCUGUCAGUGUAAACAUGAAGUCA